UGUACAGGCCCCUGGGGGCCUCGUGGCUCCCCUUUGAUUGCCUGCAGUGACCAUGCCCAGGCCAGGCCCGCCACAGGACGCGGGACAGGCCUGGGAGGUCUUGACACAGCACAAACAAAGUGGGGGUGUCGCCUGGUUUUCCACUGCUCCGGGGCUCGGCAUGCUCUCAUCUGUGCUAACUACCCAUCACGAGGCAGGGCAGAGCUUCUGGAACAUCUGCCUGCUGUGCAGCAGGAGGCCCACUGCCGGCCCCACCCCCACCGCGGCCAGCCCCACCUCGGGUGCUGGGAUAAGGCAGCUCCUCCACACCGUUUUCCUUCUCAACCAGGUAGCUGGGCCUGAUUGUCCCGUUCCCCAGCCAGGUGUGACCUGUCCGGAAAGCUCGGGGCUCUCCUGAGGCUGCCAGAGGCUGCCAGUCCUCUGCUUGUGGCUGGUCCCUCACUGCCACGAGAGUGCAUGGGCUCAGGCUCGGGGCUCAAGCCCUUGCUAGGCUCACUGCCGACCCCUGGGGCCCCCCGGGUCCCGCGGUGAAGACCUGACCUGGCCAAGGCCUCCUACCACCGGAGCUCCCUUCCCCCCACCCCUCUCCUGGCCCAAGGCUUUUUCCGUUUCAACCCCUCCUGCAGCUGGUGACGUCCUGGGCUGCGUUCUGAGGACUGAGGGCUCCCAGGCCUGUCCCGAGGCAGUGCAUCCGAAGCUGCUCAUCCCAGUCCAGGGUCUCCAGCAGGAGCCGGUGAAGCCGGGGCCCAGCGCAGAGGCCAGGGCAGGCUUUGCAAACUCAUCGUAGUAAAAUGCAGAUUCUGACUCGGUGGGUCUGGAUAGGCCCAAGCCUGCAUCUGUAACAACCCCCCCCCCCCCCCGCCCUACCCCGGGGUGACACUGCUGGGCCCCAGGCCUCACUUUGAGCAUUGAGGGCUGGAGCUCAUUGCUUGGUAGGGGCUUAGUGUGGGUCUAAGGACUCACAGUCAUGGAUGAACGAAUGCACACACCUCUUACCUAAGAACCAAAGAGCAAUGAGCCAGCAGGCCUGGGUCACCCCUCGCAAUGAAGGACCGUCACAGAGACCUGCAGAUGUGGGUGUGGGGGCAGCUGCCAGCCAGCUUCCCUCAUCCUUCUAGAGUGUAGUAUCUGGAAACUUUUUAUACAGCGUUUUUGUUUUUAUUGCACAUCAUAUAAAAUGGACUGCACCGUAUUUAAAACAGACAAGGCAUUCACAUGGAUGUAGAGACCCAGACCUUUCCUCUUUUCUGGCCCUCGCCCAUACUCCACACCGCUCCUGAGGCUGGAGAUAGCUUCCCCCACAUACCCGGCAAAGCCGGGCCCGCCCGCAGUGCCCAGUUUGGAGACUGCUGGUGACUAUGACAGGUAUCUAGGCGGGAUGGGUGGGCCAGCAGAGCACCUAACAUGUGGCAGUGACAGGCUUGUGGGCACCUGGUCUGCUGGUGGAGGCUGGGGUUAUGGCCAAGUGCCAAGAAGGAAGGCAGGGCAAGGGCAAGCUGGCCCUGGAUGUCCACCUCAGGACGAGGACACCCUGUACCCGAAAGACCUCGUCCUGGCUAGCCGGUGGCCACCCACGGCGGGGUCACAGGGAGACAGAGGGAGACAAACCAUGGGCACUGACAAGAGGAAGGGGCUGGGGCCCUGAGGACCGUGGAAAUGGAGUUGGGGAAAGCCGACCAACUCGGUGCCAUCGUCACUUUCACGGGGGGUUGAUGUGGUCCCCAGGCCCCGAAACGCCCGUGGAGGCCUGGCUCGCCGAGGGGGGCUGCAGACGCUCACAGGCUGCGGACGGCCGCGGGUGGGGAGGGGCGGACCGGCCCGCUGCCCUGCCCCGAUUCUUCUUGCCCACGGGCUGCCGCCUCUUCCUCUGGAGCUUCUCCUUCCGGGCCGCGGAGGUGGUGAAGGUGAUACAGUGGGCAUCCAGGAAAUCCAGCAGCUUCCCCAGGGCCAUGCGGAUGCCAUGCUGCUUCAGCUCGGCCUGCAGCUCGGCCAACUCAAAGGGCUGAUAGAGCAGGACCUUGCGGUAGAGGGCCGGCCGGGAGCGGAUGUAGCGCCUCACUGCCUCCUCCGUGGCUGCCGCCUGGGCGGCCGUCUGUGAUGCACUUAUCUCCUCUUGACCCUCUUCAUCCCCUGCAGACUCAAAGGCCACUCCAAACUCACAGGAAGAACUGCAAAGAACCAGACAAAAAACAUUUUGUGACCCUCCUCUCCAGCACCCCGAGACCAGGAGUCUCUUUGAGGGAAAGAGCGUUUCUGUGUCCCCUGCAGAGCCCAACACGUGGCACGGAUGACCUCCCAGGGUGGCAGGAAGCUCCAGGCCGCUGCAAUCCUGCCAUUCUUGCUGCGGCGGGGGCAGGAUCCUACCCUCUGCCAGAAUCUACUGCCGGCAGCAACAGGUGCUACCGGGAAGGCCAGCCCCGCCCCCUCACGAGAGUAUCCUGAGGGCAAGGAUACGGGAGCCCCAGAGGUCUGCUCAGGAGGCUCACAGGGGACUGCCCGUAACCCCAGCUGGGUUUCCUACAGUUCAAAUGCAGAAGGCAGCUGGGCUUUCUCAACAUCGGCAUUAGGCCUUGCUUCUGCCAACUCACAGACCCACUGGCUGGAGGACUUAUGAAGCCACUCGCCCUGUCCUUUGGUCCCGUUACCUUUGUGAGUUAAAGGAGCUGUCACUGCUGUCCACGGAGGAGGCCACUGAUUCCUGGGAGGCUGGGAGCUGGGCGUCACCAUCAGGGCCUGGAGGCUCCUCCCUGCUCAUUGGAGGGAGGCUUCCACCAGGAGGAUUCUCUUGAUGGGAGGAGCCCUUGGACGUCUUGCUGGCUUGGGUCUGGCUGUGAGGCGCCUCCAGGAGCACCCGUGAGGACUGGCUCUCAUUCUCGGAGUCUGACUCCAGAGUCUGGUGAGUGUACUGGAAUAUCUCCUUCAGUUUCAGGACCAUCUGGCGUUUGGGUAGAGGGCGGACGCCAAACCUGAAUGGGGAAACAGGUGAACUUCAGCAAAGAGCAAACAGUUAUCAACAAAUUAAAUUAAUGGCUUUGUGUAACUGAAAUCUU